UGGGGAAUAUUGCACAAUGGGCGAAAGCCUGAUGCAGCGACGCCGCGUGAGGGAUGACGGCCUUCGGGAUGUAAACCUCUUUCAGUAGGGACGAAGCGCAAGUGACGGUACCUGCAGAAGCAGCACCGGCUAACUACGUGCCAGCAGCCGCGGUAAUACGAAGGGUGGUAGCGGUGUCCGGACUUACUGGGCGUAAAGUGCUCGUAGGCGGUUUGUCACGUCGUCUGUGAGCUCCUAGGGCUUAACCCUGGACGUGCAGGCGAUACGGGCUGACUUGAGUACUACAGGGGAGACUGGAAUUUCUGGUGUAGCGGUGGGAUGCACGGAUAUCAGGAAGGACACCGAUGGCGAAGGCAGGUCUCUGGGUAGUAACUGACGCUGAGGAGCGAAAGCAUGGGUAGCGAACAGG
rnacentral:rRNA from 1 species